CUGGGCGAGAGUAGGAAAAGGGAAUUGGGAGAUACUGUUCAAAGGGUACAAAGUUUCACUUAGACAAGAAGAAUACUUUCUAGUGAUCAACUGCAGAGCAUAGCGACUAUAGUUAAUAAUAUAUAUUUCAAAAUUGGUAAGAGAGUAUAUUUCAAAUAGUCACCACAAAAAACCAGUAAAUGAGGUUAUGGCUAUGUUAAUUAGCUUGUUUUAAUCAUCUACAUUGUGUGCAUGUGUGCAUUUUGAUAUAUGUAUCAAAACAUCACAUUGUAUCUCAUAAAUAUAUACAAUUAUGAUUUGUCAAUUAAAAAUAUAAAAAAUUAAAAUUAAAAUUAUUUGGGGUCAAAAAAAUCUCUUAAGGAUGAAAUGGUAAGCAAAAGUGACACAGGAACUAAACAGAAGGUAAAUCAAGGAUGGUAGGCCUGAUAUAUUCAGCAUUUUUAAGACAAAUCUACAUAUAAAAUUGGUUUUUGUUUCUUUUACUUUGGGCAAGUUGAAAUAUUAAAAAUAAAUAAUAAACAUUAAAAUAUUUAAAAUGUUAAACAUUUAAGUACUUAAAAUAGAAGAAUUUUAUGUACUCAAAGUUGGUAAAAAUAGAUUAUCUUCUAUCUAAAUAAUUUAAAACACAUUAAAAGGCUUUUGUAUCAAAAGAUUUUAAAAAAUUCAAAGUAAAUAACAACUGAUAUUAUAACAAAACAAAAUGCAUGUUAUUUUAGAUGAUACUGACCGAAAAUGCCAGACCCCAUUCCAUUCUCUUUUCACAAUAUAACAAAAAUUCAAAAAUCAUCUUACAAAACACUUUGUAGAAAAACACAGCGUUCUCAGUUGCCAUAGAUACACAACAUUCUGCUUCAUCAUGCAAUAUUCUGUAUUCCAUUCAACUUCAAGUAAAAAGAAAUACAUAAAGGAAACGUCUUUAUUGUGUAACUCAGGCUUCAAGAGAACCUAAGAUUAAAACCUAGUGGCCAAAAAAGAAACCCAACUGCACUUGGCAAAACUACAUAUAAUUGAAACCAGUGAAGAAUAUUUCUUCAACAGAAGACAACCAAAAUAAUUUCCUGUUCAUGGGUUGCUGUUACUAUUAGUUUUCGAGGAGUCCGAAUCUAGCACACUAGACAGACAGAUCAGGCCUGGUGAGGGCUGCUCAGAAAGAUGGGACAUAGGAAUCAGGUAUGUGGGGGGAAUUUGAGGGGAUCCUAGAGGCAUGCGCCAAAUUGGGUUCUUCGCUGGAUCAUUUAACCAGUCCACAGCAAUGUAAUACCAAGAAGACAGAAACACAUGAACUCUUAGAUAAAGAAGAAGGAGACUCAAGUAGGUCUGGCAGAAUUGAAGAAGUAAGAUCGAAUACAGACGAUGAGCCAGGCAUUCAACAAAACAGUCAGAGAUGAUAUGAGGAGUGGACCAAUUAAAAGGGUAGUUCUGGAACCAAUUCCACAAAUAGGAUCUUUCAUUCCUGGCUAUCCUUAUCUGGUAACAUCCUCAUUUUGUCUGGAUAGGGUUCUUAAGGUUUCUGAGAUUAUAUUAUCUCCGGGGCUUUCAAUUCUCCCACAGAAAUACAAUAUUCUUUUUUUAACUUAAAAAAAUUAAUCAUUUCUCCAUUCUCUCCAAUUUUUGGACAUGUAUUUUCUAAUUUUUCCUCAUUAAUAAAUAACAUCACAAUACACAUCCAUCAGCACACAUCUCACACACUGUAUUUUUUAAAAAAUAGCCUUAGAAGUAGAAUCAACAGGUAAAUGGAGACACAG
rnacentral:lncRNA from 1 species